GUAGGAUGUUACAUUUAUUUUAUUAUUACAUAUUUAUUUAUACUUUUUACAUUUCAUUUUGUAAUAAUCAGAACACAUAUCUCAGGACAGUGAAGAAAAUGUGGAGGAAUGUCAUGUUUUGUACCUACUUAAUAAAAUACAACAGCAUCAAUAUUAUCAUUCAGUCCCAUUAAACAAGCUACAACAAAGACUCCUAAAACGCAAGCUUGACAUUAUAUAAAACUAUUGGUACCUCUAUAACACUGUGGAGGAGGUUAGGAGUGAGGCAUGGAGGGAGGGGGUUGGGACUGAUGUAUUGAUAAAGGGCUACCAGACAGAUAGGGGUCUGAUAGAUCGAUAGGUGACUAGUUAUGGAGGAUAGGAGUCAAUAAUAGAUCAAUCCAUCGAUAGGAGACUAUGUAUGGAGGAUAGGAGUCAAUAAUAGAUCAAUCCAUCGAUAGCAGACUAGUUAUGGAAGGUAGGGGUCAAUAACAGCAGGAGGUAUUGGGUAGGUGACUAGUUAUGGAAGGUAGGGGUCAAUAACAGCAGGAGGUAUUGGUUAGGUGACUAGUUACGGGAGGUAGGGGUCAAUAACAGCAGGAGGUAUUGGGUAGGUGAAUAGUUACGGGAGGUAGGGGUCAAUAACAGCAGGAGGUAUUGGGUAGGUGACUAGUUACGGGAGGUAGGGGUCAAUAACAGCAGGAGGUAUUGGGUAGGUGACUAGUUACGGAAGGUAGGGGUCAAUAACAGCAGGAGGUAUUGGGUAGGUGACUAGUUACGGGAGGUAGGGGUCAAUAACAGCAGGAGGUAUUGGGUAGGUGACUAGUUACGGAAGGUAGGGGUCAAUAACGGCAGCAGGUAUUGGGUAGGUUGAUGAGGUGAUGGUGUAAACACACAGACAAUGGUCUCUACACACUCAUCAUGCUUCACCAGGUCCUCUUGAUAAUCUUUUUUUCUACAUCGUCAUCAACAACAAUAAACAACCACUAUGGGGUCAAAAUGGGGGGACAGAACACAUCCAUCCAAAUAAAAAGAGAGAAAGAUAGAACCGAGGAGAAGAACAGAGUACGGCUAUUAAGAGUACUCAUGAGUCUGCUGCUGCUGCUACUGUUACUACUGCUACUGCUACUGCUACUACUACUACUACUACUACUACUGUCCGAGGAGCAUUAUGAAUAGACAGCGUCAUAGCUAGAACACAGAUUCUAAUAUGGUUCUUCUCUGUGAGGGACUAGGUCCAGGCUUUGGUGCUGUCUGGAUAACCCAAGCAGACCUGGGUUCAAACAGUAUUAGAUUUCUUUGAAUAUUUGAGCUGUGCUUUAUUGAGCUUGGCUGGCACAGUGGAACCAACGACAACAGUCUCAAAAAAACUAAUCUGGUUACUCCAGCCAGGCAUAAAGAAAACAGAUACUAGUUUAACCCAGGUAGGUCUGAACCAGCAUUGACGCCGUCACUAAGUAACACUAGCCGUCGCUGUAAACAGAGAUCUUAAACUGGCCGAGGGAGUGGAGGGCCCUGUCUGUACAGGACUGGGCAGAGAUAAAGAUAUAGAAGUCUACUGGGCAUGAUAGAGAUCUUAACAAACUGGCCGAGGGAGUGGAGGGCCCUGUCUGUACAGGACUGGUCAGAGAUAAAGAUAUAGAAGUCUACUGGGCAUGAUAGAGAUCUUAACAAACUGGCCGAGGGAGUGGAGGGCCCUGUCUGUACAGGACUGGUCAGAGAUAAAGAUAUAGAAGUCUACUGGGCAUGAUAGAGAUCUUAACAAACUGGCCGAGGGAGUGGAGGGCCCUGUCUGUACAGGACUGGUCAGAGAUAAAGAUAUAGAAGUCUACUGGGCAUGAUAGAGAUCUUAACAAACUGGCCGAGGGAGUGGAGGGCCCUGUCUGUACAGGACUGGGCAGAGAUAAAGAUAUAGAAGUCUACUGGACAUGAUAGAGAUCUUAACAAACUGGCCGAGGGAGUGGAGGGCCCUGUCUGUACAGGACUGGUCAGAGAUAAAGAUAUAGAAGUCUACUGGGCAUGAUAGAGAUCUUAACAAACUGGCCGAGGGAGUGGAGGGCCCUGUCUGUACAGGACUGGGCAGAGAUAAAGAUAUAGAAGUCUACUGGGCAUGAUAGAGAUCUUAACAAACUGGCCGAGGGAGUGGAGGGCCCUGUCUGUACAGGACUGGUCAGAGAUAAAGAUAUAGAAGUCUACUGGGCAUGAUAGAGAUCUUAACAAACUGGCCGAGGGAGUGGAGGGCCCUGUCUGUACAGGACUGGGCAGAGAUAAAGAUAUAGAAGUCUACUGGGCAUGAUAGAGAUCUUAACAAACUGGCCGAGGGAGUGGAGGGCCCUGUCUGUACAGGACUGGUCAGAUAUAAAGAUAUAGAAGUCUACUGGGCAUGAUAGAGAUCUUAACAAACUGGCCGAGGGAGUGGAGGGCCCUGUCUGUACAGGACUGGGCAGAGAUAAAGAUAUAGAAGUCUACUGGGCAUGAUAGAGAUCUUAACAAACUGGCCGAGGGAGUGGAGGGCCCUGUCUGUACAGGACUGGGCAGAGAUAAAGAUAUAGAAGUCUACUGGGCAUGAUAGAGAUCUUAACAAACUGGCCGAGGGAGUGGAGGGCCCUGUCUGUACAGGACUGGGCAGAGAUAAAGAUAUAGAAGUCUACUGGGCAUGAUAGAGAUCUUAACAAACUGGCCGAGGGAGUGGAGGGCCCUGUCUGUACAGGACUGGGCAGAGAUAAAGAUAUAGAAGUCUACUGGGCAUGAUAGAGAUCUUAACAAACUGGCCGAGGGAGUGGAGGGCCCUGUCUGUACAGGACUGGUCAGAGAUAAAGAUAUAGAAGUCUACUGGGCAUGAUAGAGGAUGAUGUCAUAAUAAUUAAGGUAGAAAAAUACAAAUAAAAGACGGAAAAAAAAAAGAGAUAAAUAAAAACCCAAAGAAAAAUUUAACCACAAAACAAAAAUGUGGUCUUUGGUGUUCCCUCAGUCAAACAGAGAGGGAAAUGUUUUGCAUAAUGCAGG
ensembl:lncRNA